AUAGUACUCCCUCCGUUCCGAAUUACUUGUCGUACAAAUGGAUGUAUCUAAACGUAUUUUAGUUUUAGAUAUAUUCAUAUUCGAAACAAGUAAUUCCAUACGGAGGGAGUAUAUU
rnacentral:pre_miRNA from 1 species